UUGUGUGGGCUUGGGUGGGGUUUUCAUCUCAUAUUUUGUGGUCGUCUCCGUUUCGGAGUUGGGGGGAAAACCGAAUUGGAGACGUGAGCGCUUCAAAUCCCCGCCAUCCCCCGUCGAUUUCAUCCCAAUCGGUAAUCUCUCCCUCUCCUCCGCUCCCCCACCGCGGUUUCGCCGAUCGUACUUCGCCGCCUGUUACGGCCGCUGCCCGCAAAACCGCGUGCCGUUUAGGGUUUCUAUAGGGUUGAGGCGAUUCGUUGGUCUGCUGUAUCGAAGGAAUUAUGCGAGUUUCUAACUGUGCUGUAGUUUAAGUUUACUUUGGCCUCGUGCAGUGAGAUGUAAGAGGAAGGGGGAGCAUUCUGAUUGUCGGAAAGAAGGUCUGAGAAUGGAAUGCAACAAGGAUGAGGCCCUCAGGGCAAAAGAGAUUGCUGAAAAGAAGUUCCUGGAAAGGGAUUUAAAUGGUGCCAAGAAGUUUGCCUUGAAGGCUCAAAAUCUCUUUCCGGCACUGGAGGGCAUUUGCCAGAUGAUAGCAACUCUAGAUGUUUAUCUUGCCUCAGAAGAAAUAGCUGUCGGUGAGAAGGAUUGGUAUGCAAUUCUCAGUCUCAGUGUUUCGGCAAAUGAAGAUACAGUGAAGAAACAGUAUAGGAAGUUGGCUCUCCAGCUUCAUCCUGACAAGAACAGAUCUGUUGGUGCUGAAGGUGCUUUUAAGCUCAUUUCAGAGGCAUGGAGUGUCUUAUCUGACAAGUCUAGGAGAAUGCUGUACGACCGAAAGAGAAGUGCUAAAGGGUUUUCACAGAAGACUUCCCAACCAAACAAAAAUAACAAUGUUCCUAGUAAUGCAAAUGGGUUUUAUAACUUUGUCAACACUGCUGCAUCAAAGGCACAGACUGUGAAGAAAAGCACUUAUGUGACUCCAGCAACUGUGCAUCCUUCAUCUGAGCCUCCGGUGCCAGAAACAUUUUGGACAUGUUGUAAUAGGUGCAAGAUGCAGUAUGAGUAUCUGAGGUGGUAUCUUAAUCAUACUCUUCUUUGUCCAAACUGCUAUGAGCCCUAUCUAGCUAAAGAAACACAGAGUCCUGCCAAUGGUUGUAAUUCCUCGGUCCCUUGUUCUGCUUCUCAGCAGCGUCACUUAAACUCUGACCAUAACACAACUAGCAAAAAUGCUCAUGGUCUGGGGAGAAGUAAUUCAACUUUUCCAGGCAUGGAAACUUCAAGAUUCCAGAAUGGAGCAAAUCUGGGUUCAUGCAAAAACUUCCAGUGGGGCCCUUUUUCUAGAACUGCAGGAGUUGCAAGUGUGAUUGCCUCAUCAGCUGCCACUGCACAGGCUGCAAAUCUCGACCAUCAGACUUAUGACAAAGUGAGAAGAGAGCAUGAAGAGACAAAAGCAGCAGCUAGGAGGGAUGAUACUAUUCACAGGAAGAAUAGUGCCCCAAAGAGGAAUGCUAAUGCAUGUGGGAUCCUUAAUGCAGGACCAAAUGUUAGUUUACCCACAAAAAGAGGACGAGGCAUUGGUGAUAACUCAACAGAACAGCUUGGUGCAUCUGAAACAAAUAGGAUGAGUGGAGUUCUUGGAGACUUUAAGUUCAGAAUGGGUGUGAGACAUGACAACUUAGGUAGAGAAUUUUCUCAUAUGGAUAUUCGAACUAUGUUGAUUGAAAUGAGUAAGUUAGCAAUCGAUAAGAAGAUAGCAGAGUGGAAAUCUGCUGCCACUGUGAAAAUUGAUGCAAAAGAAAAUGCUAAAAAGAAACAAAAACUGGGUGAAACUGACAAAGAAGAGGUAAAUGAUGUGGUUCAUGGGGAUGCCACUAAUCAAGACAGAUCAGUUGAGUCUGUGACCAACACCAAACAGUUUACCAUUGAGAAGAAUUCAUCAGAUGUCCAAUCUGCUGAUUCAGAUAAUGAGAACAAUGAACCUGUGUCGAUUGAUGUUCCUGAUCCAGAUUUUCAUGAUUUUGAUCAUGACCGUUCUGAGCGAUCUUUUGGAAGUGAUCAAAUAUGGGCCACUUAUGAUGACGAGGAUGGUAUGCCUCGUUAUUAUGCGCUGGUUCAGCAAGUUAUUUCUUUGAAACCUUUCAAGGUGCGCAUGAGCUUUCUCACUUCAAGGUCCAAUAGUGAGUUUGGGCCUCUGAAUUGGGUUGCAUCUGGUUUUGCAAAAACCUGUGGUGAUUUCAGGAUUGGACGAUAUGAGGUGAAUGAUACAGUUAAUAUCUUUUCACAUAAAGUCAAGUGGGAAAAGGGUCCCCGUGGUGUCAUCAAAAUUAUUCCAAGAAAAGGUGAAACUUGGGCUCUCUACAGAAAUUGGUCUCCAAAAUGGAAUGAACAUACUCCUGAUGAUAUCAUCUAUAAGUAUGACAUGGUAGAAGUCCUUGAAGACUAUAGUGAAGAAGAGGGUGUAUCUGUAAUCGCUUUAGCAAAAGUAUCUGGAUUUAGAACAGUAUUUCGUCGUCACAUGGAUCCAAAGGAAUCAAAGAGAAUCCCAAAAGAAGAAAUGUUUCGGUUUUCACAUCAAGUGCCUUCUUAUUUACUGACUGGUGAAGAGGUUGAGAAUGCUCCGAAGGGUUUCUUUGAGCUGGACCCUGCAGCAACUCCUUUGGAGCUUCUUCAAAAAAUCUGUGAAAGCAAAAAGGAAGUGGCAUUGGAGGCUGUUGAACAGGCAGUCAACUAGUAGCUGUUGCCUUGGUAUUUGUUAGAACUUUCAGAAUCAUGUCAAUCCAAGUCCAUUUCGACAUUUAGUUUCUGUUGCUGUAUAGUAUCAAAGGGUAUAUAAUUUCAAAGAUUUUACAGUUGGCGACUGGGACAAAGUUGCUGGAUGAAGAGUUGUUUUUGCAGUUACUUGUAAUAGGUGUCUGGCAAUGGUUUUGUCUGCAAUAGGAAGAUAGCUGAGACUUCAAAAAAAUCCGUUGAAUACAGAUUGCAGAGAUUAAAGACUUUGCUUACUACAGCUUUUGCAGGUGUUUCCUUCAGAGAUUGAUACUUUGCGAUUGUUUACAGUUGAGCUUUAAGACCCAGAACAUGGUUAUGUGACAGUAAUGGAGCCACGGGUGGUUAGAUUCACAUGGACAAGAGAAUAAAAAAUAAGCUUUUGAGCUGAAUUGCCAGACUAAAGACAAGUUUUGGUGAAUGCCCACCACCGUCUGCGCAUAGCUGAUAAAGCAAGCCCAGAGGUCUGGGCAUGGUGGAAUUUGACCCGGUUGCUUCUGGAGAUUCAUUCCCUGGGUUCUAUGGCUGAUGGGUAUAGAUUUUACCAUGUUUCCCUCGUUAGUGCUUUGCUUGUUUCCAUUCACAUUGGAAACAUCAAGGUAACAGGUUUAAGAAGAUCAUGGGAGUUUGUUAUCGGUUGCUGAUGAUAUACAACUAAUGGUGGGUUUUGUUCCUCAUUUGCCAGACCAUGCUUUAUACCAUGGCUGUGAAAUGGUUGAUGAUUGAAGACUCCUUGUUAAAUUCCAUCGAUCAUUCAACAGGAAUUUUCCUUUCUCUUUUUACA